GUUCGUGGAAGUCUGCGGACGAAAAGCGUAUCACACACCGGUACAGAAAGCGCUGUGUGUCUCGGCCUGUGGAAGGUGACCUGGUGUCGGCUGCACCUCACCUUUUCAAGAAAAAUCGCAAUGCUGACUUUUCUCCGCGUUAUCUCGCUUCCCACUGUUCUCGCAUUUCUCUUCGCGGCUCUCGCUAGGUUCUUUCAAGGUGUAGAAAGCGUGGAAAACGCCGAGAACGGACGACCGGAUUUCUGUGCCGUGUCACGGAGCGGCGUUCUGCCGGGGUAAGGGAGUCUCCUCGUUCGCGCCGGAGAAAGGGGGAGAAAUGCACUCUCGACGCUCGUCAAAGUACUCAAACGUUCAUCUCCGCGCGAUGUCACGAGUCUUCUAUUUCAAACAAAGACGAAACGGCAGCCUGUGGUUUAUUCGACCACUCGGAACUGCCCUGCCUCCCAAGAUACUUUCCUCGCGUCCAACCGCUUCCAGACACUUCGUGGAACAGGACGGAGUUGCUUUUUAACCGCCUCUUUUUCCCUCGUUUCGUCUUUGCUGAUUUCCAACCUUCUCUUUCCUCGCUCUCGCGGCCUUGUUCUCUGUCGACCCCAGACUGAAGGAGGCCUUCGUUUCUCCUCGCCAGUGUGAGUCCUUAGUUCCUCUUUUUCGCAUUUUCCAGACGGACUCUGCUUCUCUGCUCAGAAUAACCGUUUGCUCUUUCCAGUCUUCUGAAAAAGCCAAGCCAGUGAAGGCGGGAGAGUCUUCCAACCUCGAGAUUUCCCUCAUUCCGGUGAGGGGUGCUGUCCCCCUGUCCACAGCUGUACCUCUCGCGUUUUUCAAAAGCCAUGAUUUUUCGUUUUCCGUCAGUGGAAUCGCGCACGCGUCUGCAUCCUGUUCGGUUUGCGGCAGGUUCGCUGUCUUUCCUCGAUCCGCUUUGAGAGAGCCGUUCUUUCCCCACAGUAAAAGCGAAAAGACGAGAAGCAGUGUCUGGGAACAGGCGCGCCUAAGUUGCGACAUAUGAAAUGGAUUUCGUUCCG
rnacentral:lncRNA from 1 species